rnacentral:lncRNA from 1 species
CCAAUUCAUCAUUCUCAUCAGCAAAUAGCUCCUUUGAGCCAUACCUGAUAAUGUCAUCCAACUCUUCCUAUGAUAUAAUCAAACAUUCAGCAAUAUCUAUGAGAGGAAAGUACAUUUCACUGCCCAUAUCACAUUCUAAUGAUUUAACCUUCUCAUAAAUAAACCCCUAAAACAUGUGACAAAUUAUCAAUAAGGAAAACCACCGACUAAUGAGAUUGCAGCAGAAUAUCCUUGGUGGUGUGCAGAUUUGUGCACAUUGGUUUGUCUUCAAAACUCUACAAAACUCAUGUCUUCAGCACAAACAGCACUGCUUUAAAAACUAGAAAGUACCUGGUUUAUAUUUUGAGCCUUAAGCCUCCCAACAACAAGAUGUUCUAAUACCAUUUUCU